UGAGUAACCUGCCCUUCACUCUGGGAUAACUCCGGGAAACCGGGGCUAAUACUGGAUAUGACUCGAACAGGCAUCUGUUUCGGGUGGAAAGAUUUAUUGGUGGAGGAUGGACUCGCGGCCUAUCAGCUUGUUGGUGAGGUAAUGGCUCACCAAGGCGAGGACGGGUAGCCGGCCUGAGAGGGCGAUCGGCCACACUGGGACUGAGACACGGCCCAGACUCCUACGGGAGCA
rnacentral:rRNA from 1 species